AGGGGUCCAGGCGUUCGGAGACGCUCUCGGCGCCGGGGCUGAAGCUCUCGCAGUCGGAGCCCGCCGGCCCCAGCUCGCCCAGCAGGGAGGGGCACGACAGCGGCGGUCCCGCCAGACUAAACAAGCUCCUUUUGCCUCCCAUGGCAAGAUAAACUACACAGUGCAAGAACACUGGUGGUGGGCACCCCGUCCCUGGAGACAUUCAAGGUUAGGCUGGACGGGGCUUUGAGCAACCUGAUUUUGCUGUGUGCGUCCCUGUUCAGUGCAGCAGAGUUGGACUCGGUGACCUUUAAAGGUCCCUUCCAAAUCAAACGAUUCUGUGAUUCUAUGAUAACACGGAGUGAAGGUCAUUUCGGUAGCCUCGGGUCAGGCACGUGGUGGAGUGAGCUGGAGGAGCUCCGCACAAUGCUGUGAGCCAGCAAGGGGCUGAGCUGACCUCGCUUCUCCUGCUGCUCGGCUGACUUACUGCUUUCCCUGGCCUUGCUAAUGAAGGGCUUUAGGCAAUCAAACAACCAAAUGGUAGCAGCCCAGAGGAUGGAAAACUGCUGGAUUUGUCUCUGCUCUGUGAGAUUUGCUCAGGAGCAGGAGGCUGCGGUGAGGCUUCCUGUGUUGUGCCAUGGGGAGAGAAGGCAGUACACUGUAUCUCUCCCCAGUUUCCUGAAUAGUCAGGCAGUGAUUUCUGUAACAUGCCAGCAUCUCCAAAUGCAAAGUGGUACAGAGCCAGGUUGUUUUUGCUUUAUGCAGGGAAGCGCGUUUGAAAUCUUGUAAUUAUAUGUGUGUUCAAAUUGAACUCUUAGGCGUAUGAGAAGACUGUGCAAUUCUCCGUUUCCCAGUAACUGAUCAAUGCUUUUUAAAUCUCUAGGAAUUGUGAGUUUUGCUGCGGAUUGACUACUGCUAUGAGAUGUGGAGAAUGGAGCUUAUGAAAUUGAUUUUUGUCAGAAGGAAGUGGAAGGGUGAAACGCACAUCUUCCUUUUCUAAAGUUUGAUUGAUGAUGGCUAUUUUGAAGAACGGUAAAAUGGAACAGGAUGGUUUGCAAUCUGCAGUUUUCCAGCUGGAGUCUGGCAACCUUGAUGAAGAGUUUUCUGAUUAUAGGAGUUCUAUAGAAAAUAAGGGAAUAAAAAGUAAUCUAUCACAGAUUACUCUGAUACCAUACCAAAAGUCUUUAUAUCAAGUGAACAAAUUGUGCAUACCCGCAGACAACGUCAAGAAACACCAGAAGGCCUUGAAAGCCCAUGAUGACCUCUGUGUAAUAUACCCAGUUAUCAGAGGCAGACAACAUACAGCCUUCAUAGAAUCAGUUUUGCCAUAAACUAUACUCAAAGAGAAUUGUUGAAUUACAUCAAAUAUGCAACAAUCACCCAAUUUGCUUUUUUUGUUUGUUUUUUUUUUGUUGUUUUUGUUGUUAUUGUUUUUAAAUAAAGCCUUUCAAGAAAACAUGCCUUCCUUAAACAGGAAUUACUGAAUCCCUACUCCUCAACUGCAGAAAACUUGGCUGAUGAGUCAGUUCUGGAUGAAAAGCUGAUGAGCACCGAGAAAUGCUAAUGUGGGAAAAAUUCUAUUCAUUUUUCCUCUGCUAUAAGUCAUCAUCAAUGGCGCUGUUGAACGUUCAUCUGUGAUUUAAGAAGGGAGAGGAGAAAAGAGCCGAGUGCCUUCCUGGCUGCACGUUAAGCUCUCUGGAAGGAAAUGGACAGAGUUCAGGUCCUCACAUCCUUCAAGCAGGACAUGAGGCUGUGAAGCACCCUUCUGGCUGAAGGAACAUCUUGCCCCUGCAUCUUCUCCUGGGCUGGAGCUGGAUGCAGCACUCUUGUUGCGACGGUCAGUUGGCACACAGCAUUAUCUGCCAGCAGUAUGUGGCUCUCCCAUCCCCAAGGAGGAAGGUCUUUACUCUUGCAGUUCCCCUGCUUGCCACUGAGAUUUCAGCUUCUGGCAGAGCUGAGCUGUACUGCACUCAACACGGUACGGAUUUCCUAUGCAAUCACCAGCAGUGUGGUGCAGAGAUCCUUUGGUUGCACAAAUGCUUUCUGUUGUGAUGUAUGCCGGUUGCAGUAUGCCAGCAUUGCAGUUAAACAGUUUGGAAGUGCAGAGUCAUUACCAAACUGUGGAAUUUCUUCUCCAGCACAAACUUCUUGUCUUCAUCGUGUAUGAAGAAAACAAUUUACAGAAAUAAAUACCUGCUUCCCCAUUGCUGAAAACCACACAUCAAGGAAACAAAUUCAAGAAGAAACACCGGCUUUGUUGCCAGGAUUGAUUACAGGGUGGUAACUGUUCCAGUGUCAAAUCUGUAUUAAAAUUAUAACAUUGUUUUACAGAUUUUGUUUUUCAUUUGUGUUGAUAUGAAUUGCAAAGCUAGACCUUCUAAUUCCCUGUGGAUUCAGCAACCUCUAUACACUAAUCCUCUUACUGCAUCUUUGGCUCUUCCAUCCUCUGCUACCUAUUUUUUUGUUUUUUUAAAAGGAAGAGAGCUUCAUUUUCAGUUAGAUGCUAAUGCACUGAAAGAUUCUCUUCCAGAACUGUAGUAAUCCUUCCAUGUAAUUAUUUCAUUUUAUCUUUUAGGCUCGUAUGGCUUCUUAAACCCAUUUUGUUUCAGAGCCUUACAACUCCUGGAGGUACAGUAUUCAUCACUACUGAUAGAGAUGGAUUAUGGUGGAUCCAUUAAGCUGUAGCCAACGCAGAGACUUGGAUGCAAUGUUUUUACACGCUAUAUAACCCUAACCAGCACGGCUGGCAUAUUUUGAAAUGACCCAGGAGAUCCAAACAUUUUUAGUAUCAGUUUUUCGUGAGGUUUGUCAUCUCCCUCUGAUUCACUUGGAAGCGUCUCAGCCAAGUGCCUGUUGAAGGGCCGUACAUGAAGGCCUUUCACUAAAGCUGAGCAUAUUUUUCUUCCAUACCACACAUUUGGCAACAAAGCUGGCUGAGAAAGUGCAUUCUGCUUCUCCCUUAUAUACGUCACUUCUGUAUGCUAUGCUGCCCUGUGACUCUGAGGCUGCCCUGGCAACCGGGAGAUGGCAAUGCUCUUCAUUAAACAGGAAUUAUGCCUUAAGAAUGUCAGGUACUGCUUCAAGGCAGUAAGAGUCUAUCUCAUAAAUGCGUAGUUUACUUGUGAAUGAAUAUGAUGUGAGAACAGCGCCGUGGAAGAUAAAGUUUCAAAAUAUGUUACUGAUAAUUUAUAUCAGUACAGAGUCAGUGCUAUCAAUGGCUGCAGCUACAGUAAUUUACAAGAAGUAUGAGCACAGAUGCACAUUAUGCACUUUGAGGGAAUUAUUUAACUUUAUUUCUUGAACUUGAAAAGUGUGUCUUGUUAAAAGUAAACGUAGAAAUCCUCCAAGGAGCUUAAUAAAAUAAAGCCAUAUUGUCAGGAUCAACCUAGAAGGUAGUACUAAAGCAGCCAUCUCAGCAGUGGAAGUGUAGUUGUAGGGCCGUGCAUGAAAUUAAGAAUGCUUUUAGCAAUACAGUAGGACAACAUGAAUGAACCCAGUAUAGAAGAAUGAGUCUAAACAAAAUAUUCAGAACAGUGAGGCCAACCUGCAGCCUAGAGGUGAUAGGGCUCCCCAGGCAAUGACCAGGUUGUGGUGAGGCCCUGCCUCACGCCCUCUGUAAGUCUUUGCAGAACCUGAUGUGGUGCAGGUGGGGAGCAGCUACCAUUUCAGCAUGCAGAUUUCAGUGAGAUAAAGAACCAUUCUGCACCGUAAGCUUUGCAGAUGUUGGCCAGGGCACAGCAAAUCGUGGUCACAGGUAUUUAUUUGACAUCCAAACUGUUUCAGCAGCAUUGUUCUGCUUUCAGCUUCCCAAAGGUGCCCUGUGUUGUUCUGUGAAUGCCACAAACAGAGCUGAAUACUCUGUGCGACUUCACCAGCUCUGGCAGGAGUGAAGAUAACCAGGUUCCCCAAAGGAGCACAAAUUCUGCUUGCUACAGCAGAAUAGUCUCAUCUUUUCCAGGUGCAUAAUGCCCAGCUACCAUCACCGGUCCAUGCUCUCCGUAGUACCAAGCACCCAUGACCUACCUAUUGCACAGAUCGAGAUGCAUUUUGUGGAUAAAAUUUUCCUUGGCCUCUUGUGCUGACAGGUGAUGAACUUGUGAAAACCUUUGUACAGCUGAGGUCUGCGGCGCUUUGAAAGUCAGCUAGAUUUUUAGGAACUCUACAUCUGCCAACAGACAGGGGUAAGCCACCUUCAUAACAGGAUCGCUUCAGCUUCUGCCUGUCUGGUGCAUUUCUUUGGCACACCAGGCAGCUCCAUCCUGCAUCAACAGCAGGCCUGGAAUUCAUGCUGUGCAAAAGUAACCUUUCAAGCAUGAAUUUCUGACAAAGGUGGUUGCCCAGAGCAAACGGUGAAGGCUUUUCUUGCAGAGAUGAAAAGGUGGAGAGAGGGAACCAGCUUGGCAGCUGGGGCAGUAAGCAAUCAGUGUUGUGUUUUGUUUUGUUUAAAAAGUGUUUGAAGUUUUUCCUGUGCAGCUGACUUGUGUUGCAGCAGAGAAGACCUCACCAUGGAGCGUUUCUCCCCAUCAUCUGCAGACGGGCUGCUGGCAGCACUCCCAUCCACAAUGAUCUAGCACAGCUGGCCUGCCAGGAUUUCUGUCUGAUAGCUGAAUAUUUUGUGUCAUGAAGUUCUUGGCUGCCCUUUUAUACUUUCUCCAUGUUACAGUGCACAAGAACCUCCAGCAGAUUCUCGGGUGAUGGGCAGGAAACCAUUUACCACGUCCUUCCUCCAAGCUAUGGCAUUGCUUUCAAAAAGCAUAAUCUAAUUGCUAGAAUCUGAGGAUUUGUCUUUGCUUGCUUUAGCCAGAGAUGCCAUCAGGCGUGGCUCCUCUCCAUCGCAUACCCUGAGAAGAAAGGUAUUGCAUCAUUGCAUGCACUGCCUCUUGCUGGCUGCAGUUCUCCAUUCUCCAGCACAUGCAGAAAGUAGUGGCUCAGAGGCUGUGCUGACUCUCCCUCCAUCCUUAGUGCCACAGAACAAUUUUUGAAGGAAGUGAUCAUGCUGAGCUAGUGUGGCUGUGGAGUAAUGGAGGCCACACAGGCAUGAUUUUGCUGGAGAUGAAGGAGGCCACGUUGUUUGGAAAGCCUCCACAUGAAGCUUGGAGCAAACACACUCACUGCAGAGGAGAGGUGUACCUCUCCCAGGGAGUAACAGGUGAGCCAGAACGUGCUGAGAUGGAUGCUUUUCUUUGCUGUAACAUCUCCUUGCUGUCACGCCUCAAGCAGAAUCAUUGAAGAGGUUGGACUGAAGAGACCCUGGAGGUCAUCAUUCUGUGAGCACCAAAGUGAGAUCACAUCGCCCAGGGCCUCGCUGUACACGAGGCACAAGUCAGGCAGGGCUUUGCAGGCUGAAAUUAGCAGCCUGACUCACAGGACAAAAAACUCGUUGUCAGUGAGAUGGCUGCUGAAUGCACGUAACGACAGAUUGUCAAACACGUAACCAACCAACCGCUCCUUUCUUUCAGGAGCUGAGGAGUGGAAAUCAUUUGUGACAUUUCCAAUCUACGUCCUCUCAGGAGCAUAAAGGUGACUGCAGAGGAUGAAACACUGGUCUUGCCAACAGCGUCCUGCUGAAGGAGGCUGUCACUGCAGCAUGCCAAGCGGACAUGCAAGCAGCACGCUGGCAGGCAGUGUGGGACAAGCAGCUCUAGAAACCUUUCCCAAAACUGCUGCAAUGGGAGGCUGGCUUCUCCCCAGAAGCCCAAGAGUGUAAAUCCUUUCCAGAGCCCCUGUUUAUUUUUAUGUAUGUAUUACUAGCCCUCCAGCCCUCUUUCAAAUCCUGCUAAGCUUUUGGUUGUGAUGACACUCAAGAGGAAUGGAUUCCACAGAGUAAUUGCAUGCCAUGCAAAAAUUUAUUUCCUUUUUAUCAGUUUUAAAAGCUUCCCUUUUCAAUGUAAUUGAACGUUCCCUUGUGUUUAUACUGUGAAAGCGAAACCAGCAGCGUAUGUUUAUGAGGGCAUUUGCUGGACAGAGGCUGAGCCUGGCUUCCCACAGCUCCAAGCCAGGGGAAAUCACGCAGAGAAGAAUAAGCAAAUCAAUGGUUCUUUUAAUCAAACUCAACAGUAAUUUGCAACAAAAGGAAAAUCUUAUUCUUGAGCAUUUUCAUGGGAAAAUUAAUCCUUAUAACAGACAAAAGAUUUUUGCUUUUUUUUUUUUUCUUUCCUAUUUGCCAUCCAGGAAUGAUUUCAUACGUUUUCACCCUCACCCUGUCCUUUUGUUCCAGCUGCAAAAUGUACACACAAACACCUCUUACUAAAGAGGCUAAUUAAGCACAUGAUCCCUUUUCCCUUCUCAUAAAAGCUGCUGGAGAGCAACCCAAGCAACGUCCUUAAUACAGCUGUGCUCGGAAAGCUCCUUCCUUGGCAAGGGAAGGGCACUUGUGAUGGCAAGACAAGUCUGUUCCCACAUUUCCUGAUGUGCUGGGGUCACAUCACACGUUCAAGCACUGCUUUAACAGGGAAUAGAAACAUGGGCAGAAGUGUUUUUUUUUUGGUGUCACUACAUUUCAGCAGAUGUUGCAGGCUCAAUUAUCCCGGCACUUCAGCUGUAACAUUGCAUUUUCUCUAAGCUCCAUUUAUUUGGCUGAAACCCUUUCGUUGGAAGACACUGCCUUCUGUAGCUGGAGCUUCAGCACAGCAGAGCUUGACAGCUACCUUUGGUAAGCAAAUUUAUCUUUUGGGAUUGACUCCACAGCCCAGCUACAAAUCACGUUUGACAUACAGCUGAACAAAACAAGUUUCUUAACGUGGAGUAUAAUACACCUGCCCAUUCUAGGCUAUCCAAUGCUUUAAUGUGGGCUCAUUAGUCACAAAGAAUAAGUCAGCGUUCAGAUAAACUACACUUCUGCAAGGCAGGAAAAGUCUACGUUCAGCAUCCUCACGGGAAAGGUGAGCAUCUCUGCGUGUCGGGAAACAACGUGACACAUCCCACAGCUCCUGAGUCACAGCUGGGAAAUGCAGCACAGCAGUUAUUCCAUUCUGAGGUCGACUGUGAUGAGCUGUGUUGGAGUGGUGGGCAGUUUUAAGAAAUGGGGAUCACUUCUUUCAUUCUGACUUCCUGCCUUUGCCGACUCUAUAAGCAUACCGUGGUCACCUUGCUUUCCUGCCUUGCUUUGUGAAAGAGAACUGGGCAUUUGUAAUAUGUAUAACAUAAACAUUUUAAACACUUUCUGAGGAGCACAGGUAAUACAGUGUAAAUGAAGUUGAAAAUAACUGGGAAUGAUGAGCCAGACAAAUAAUACAGGAAUCAGCCAAAUGCUAAGCGAGCAAGGUAAAGCAAAUGCUUCAAGAGAAUCAUUUUCUUUUGAAAUCUGCCCAAACACAGAAUACAUCUCUCUCCUGUCCCCUGCUUUAUGAGCACACGUACAUGUUGAUUGGUAAGAAAGCAAGAGCUGCCACUGUACCGCACUGCGAUCUAUAGCAAGAUGUGGCAGCUUUCCUCUAUUCCUUACCAGAAAUUCAGUAGAGCGACAAGGAGAGGGGACACAUUAAAGUUUUAUUACUUCAGUGGCAGUAUUCUCCAGAGAAAACAAUAAUAAAUUCCCUACACUGUGGCUGUCUAAAUAGAUUAUCCAACAAUUAUUAUUAAUUAUUAAUCAUCCAGUGACUCAGAAGCCACCCCGUGGCUGCCUACUGCAAGAAUCCUACAGCUUUUGCAACCUAAUGAUAUGAUUUUCCAAAUUACAAUGUUGCAGUGCUAAACCAUAUGAAAGGUUAAUGGGAGAGGGAGUGAUGAAGUGAUACAAACGUCUAAAAUUGUACCUUGACUUGCUGGCAGUAGGUUGUGAAAAAGCAACCCAAGCAAAUUCAGCAGAAAACUAGUUAACUUAAGGAUUAUUACAAGAACUGAAGUGGGAGUUGAAGGCGUUUUAAAGGGUCUGUGGAUUUGUGAAAAUACCUUAAAAUAGUCCAGGAGGCAAAAAAAUCUUUUUUCUUCUGUUACCAAAGAGCACCUUUUCCAACCCAGCAUACAAGUGGCAAGGCUGAGUGCUGUAAUUCACAUCACCUAUGCGCAUCCUUGGCUGCCCAUGUUUACCACAAGAUUGAUUUCUCAUUCUUAAGCACAUUUGUAACGUCUGUGCAAAUGAAUGUAGGACACAUCCCAACAAGAUCAAUAUUUAUGCAGCCUACUUUGGAAAGAACAAGAGAGUUGCUUCAGCGCAGCAGGGGACCUACUCAUUGGCUUUCCUGCAGUUUCCUCUUUUCCUCCUAUUCCACACAGUUUUCCUGCUGAGUGCUCACUGCUGAUUAAAAGUAGUGCUAACGAAAAAAGUAGUGAAGGCUGCCUGGAGCAGUGGGACCCCAUAGGGACACACAGCCAAAUGCAGCACCCAUAGCUCCUGUCCGCUGCUUCCUCCAGCCCCAUCCAUCUGCUUCUCUGUGGCUCACGGCUGUUCACACUUCAUGCCACUUGCAAAAGAGCAGCAAUCAAUUAUCCUAAUUAAAUGCAACAAUGGAAUAUUGAAUACCGUGGUUUAUUUCCUGCUCUAAAGGUUCACGUCUUUAAUGUGUGCUUUCCUCACGUUGCUUGUCACAGCUGAUCUCGUACGUUCAUUUUGUGUUAUAAAGAGAGAGGGGAGACUGAAUGGUACCCGCAAUCAAUCAAAAGGCAGAAAGGGAGCAUUAAAACAUGCCAACCUUUGCGCAGUGUGCUGAUGUUGAAAAGCAUCCCCACCUGCAUUUUUUCCAGCUCUCAAGUCCCUGGCUCUCAGGAGGCUGCAUCUUCACCAAUCACUGGCAGAAGGUGGCUGUAUGAAUUGUCUUCUUUCUGCCCUAUUUAUCAGGAGACUUUUUUUUACCCUGACUUGAAUAAAGUUAGAGGCCCUCAAGUUCAUCUACUGGUAUGGGUUUCUGCAGAGCUGUACGUGCCUUUAAAAAUAAGUUGGAGUUCAAGAUCAGUAGCUUCACCGUAUCCAUACCCUCUGAUUCACAGAGCUGGUUUAAUUCUCCAUCUCAUAAAGCACACAUUGCAGAUAUAAAACCCAUUCCCAGCAAGCAUUAUUUUUUUUUCCAAGGGACUCCACCACGAUUCUAGCAUUACAAACUCCAGGUUAUUAAUGAGCCUUCAUUUCCAUGGCUGUACCACUGAAAUGCAGCAUUAGCAAAUAGCACGUUGAAUGCCUCUGCUGUAAAUAGUUCAAUUUUCCCGAGUAGCUAACUAGGCAAUAAGAUCCCUGUCACUUUUAUGUUGACAAAGUAUCUUAGUUACUAAGUAACUAUAGAGAUGUUUCCCUCCUGCUUGACGUAAUUACAAAAUGCCUUUCAUUAGCUGGUGAAAAUGUUCGGGCUCAAAGCACAAUUCCUACAGCACGCUUCCCUGUUUGCAGGGAAUGCAACUUACGGUGACCUAUAUCAGCUAAGAAGAUUUCCUGCUUAUUUCCCCAUGCCUAUAGCCCCUUACAUCCAGGCUGCAGCUGCCUCCCAAACUGUGAGCUCAGCCCCCAUUGGUUAUGCUGCAUCCCUGAUCCCCAGACAGACCUCUCUCAGCCGGUGUGGGCUUCGUCCUUGGUGCUGGCUGAAGCUUUGGCCCACGGAAGCUGGGGCUCUGCAGCCUGGGCCUGCACACAUCCCACUCAGGGUUAGCAUAUUACAGGCACCAUUUGAUCAUAUUUGUGAUACAGCAGAAAUUGUAAUACUUAAACAGUACUGAUGUAGUUUCAGCAGAUGCUUUUUCCUCGAUGCUAGGAGGUGACAGAGGCUCCACCACCUUCCAGACUGGCUGUGCCUCACCCUGCUGCCCCAACUGGCUGUACAUGUUAGAUUUUCCCCCAGUGACUAGCCUGAAACUUCCUCGCUGCCUCACAGGCAGAGCAGGGCAAUUCUGUUCCUCUCUUUGGCAUGUUGCAAUGGCCUCCUUUCCUCCUUCAGGCAGGACUACAGCUAAAGGCAGCUUUACUUGUCCUCCAUCACGUCUUACAGAUGACUGCUUGCAGCUCGGACUUUGUUAGCCAGGUCUCCAGGUAUCCGAGGUCAGAGUAUAGCCGCCAGCCUGCAAAUAACUGACUUCUGUAUCGCUGCCAAUGCACAAAUAGCUAACUUCUGCACAACAUCCUCUGCCUUCCUUGCUAGGGGCACCUGCCCUCAUCCUUUUGCCAUUGCUGUUAAUUGCAUCAUCCACCCACAGGCAGCUGAUGCUUCAGGGAAAAGAAGUCAAACAUAAAAAGCACUGGGCGUCUCUCCCACCAAAAGGAAAGCCGCCAAAAAUCUCCCAUUUCAGCACAUUUAUCCACCAUUCCUGCCAGUACGGCUGCUCUGUGGCUACUGGCAGUCCCAAUACCUCAUGCUAGUGGCACCUGGUUUCCACCUCAUUCUUCUCCACUCCUGUACACUGGGGCUAUGCUUGGAAUGCAGCUCACCAGCCCGGUGUGUCUUCUGCCCACUCCUCCCACCUGGGCUGGAGAUGGAUGAGGACAACAGCUAGAGGGAGCGAGUGGGGGCAGCAAGCUUUGGGGCCACUCACAAACCCAGUAAUCAACCAGCUGGUUCCACAGUAAUCCACCUUUUCUUCCUUCUCUUUGGAUGAUAAAUGAAAAAGAAACUUACAUCAACACGGAGGUGCUCUCUUCCUUGUUUACAGAGAUCCCUAUCUGCAGGCAAUGGCAGCCUAUAAACUCUGUCUGCAGCCCAAGGGAUCGUGCCAGGUCCUUACAGAGUGUGCAGUAAGAGUAGUGCCACUGGGCAAACACAUCCCUCUUUACUCCAAUUAGUAUCACUGCCAAAAAAAAUAAAAGAAAAAAAUGUUUAUCAGUCUAUGGAAGAUUUGUCCCUUUUGCUUCAGGCUCCACCUAUCCAUGGAGUUAAACAUUUGUCAGUGCCUGUGCAGCCAGAGAGCUGAACAAAAGCUGAACAUUUCCAAAAAGAAGCCAGCUCACACUGCCAGAAGAUGCGGUGCUCAAAGGAAAUUAAGAUGAGCAAGACUGCAAAACUGAGAUGCCUGCGCUUGCAAAUUGCUUGCAACAGGUCCAACAAUUACCUGCCUGGUGCUGUUGUUUUACCUUUUGCCUACCACUGGGUAUGCAGUUAAGCUCAUUAAAGUGUGGCAUUGAGUCACCUCAUUUGUCUGCAGCUACUUAUUGGCCAUUAUAAUAACAAUUGUGUGAUACAUGCGAAAGCACGCCAACAUCAUGUGGAUGCCUUCCUCCUGGAAGCAUUCAAGGCCAGCAGAUGGAACUUUGAGCAACCUGGUCUAGUGAGAGGUGACCCUGCCUAUGGCAGGGGGUUGGAACUAGAUG